GGUGUAAUAGCUCAGUGGUGGAGCGCAUGCUUACCAUGCAUGAGGUUCUGGGUUCAAUCCCCAGCACCU
rfam:Camelus ferus unplaced genomic scaffold scaffold916, whole genome shotgun sequence.